rnacentral:misc_RNA from 1 species
AAAUGCGAAAGUAGUGUGAAUUGCAGAAUUCAGUGAAUCAUCGAAUCUUUGAACGCACAUUGCGCCCCUUGGUAUUCCAUGGGGCAUGCCUGUUCGAGCGUCAUUUGUACCCUCAAGCUCUGCUUGGUGUUGGGUGUUUGUCCCCGUCUCCGCGCGUGGACUCGCCCCAAAGUGAUUGGCAGCCGGCGUACUGGUCCCGGAGCGCAGCACAUGUCGCGCAAACGAGUGCCUUGGUACGGCGGCGUCCAUAAGCCCCUCUCUCACGCUCUUGACCUCGGAUCAGGUAGGGAUACCCGCUGAACUUAAGC